CCUACGGGAGGCAGCAGUCGAGAAUCAUUCACAAUGGGGGAAACCCUGAUGGUGCGACGCCGCGUGGGGGAAUGAAGGUCUUCGGAUUGUAAACUCCUGUCAUGUGGGAGCAAAUUAAAAAGAUAGUACCACAAGAGGAAGAGACGGCUAACUCUGUGCCAGCAGCCGCGGUAAUACAGAGGUCUCAAGCGUUGUUCGGAAUCACUGGGCGUAAAGCGUGCGUAGGCUGUUUCGGAAGUCGGGUGUGAAAGGCGCGGGCUCAACCCGCGGACGGCACAUGAUACUGCGGGACUAGAGGAAUGGAGGGGGAACCGGAAUUCGCGGUGUAGCAGUGAAAUGCGUAGAUAUCGAGAGGAACACUCGUGGCGAAGGCGGGUUCCUGGACAUUAACUGACGCUGAGGCACGAAGGCCAGGGGAGCGAAAGGGAUUAGAUACCCGGGUAGUC
rnacentral:rRNA from 1 species